rnacentral:rRNA from 1 species
CCUACGGGAGGCAGCAGUGGGGAAUAUUGCACAAUGGGCGCAAGCCUGAUGCAGCAACGCCGCGUGAGGGACGACGGCCUUCGGGUUGUAAACCUCUUUUAGUAGGGAAGAAGCGAAAGUGACGGUACCUGCAGAAAAAGCACCGGCUAACUACGUGCCAGCAGCCGCGGUAAUACGUAGGGUGCAAGCGUUAUCCGGAAUUAUUGGGCGUAAAGAGCUCGUAGGCGGUUUGUCGCGUCUGCUGUGAAAACUGGAGGCUCAACCUCCAGCCUGCAGUGGGUACGGGCAAACUAGAGUGCGGUAGGGGAGAUUGGAAUUCCUGGUGUAGCGGUGGAAUGCGCAGAUAUCAGGAGGAACACCGAUGGCGAAGGCAGAUCUCUGGGCCGUAACUGACGCUGAGGAGCGAAAGCAUGGGGAGCGAACAGGAUUAGAUACCCUGGUAGUCCAUGCCGUAAACGUUGGGCGCUAGAUGUGGGGACCAUUCCACGGUUUCCGUGUCGCAGCUAACGCAUUAAGCGCCCCGCCUGGGGAGUACGGCCGCAAGGCUAAAACUCAAAGGAAUUGACGG